rnacentral:misc_RNA from 1 species
AAAUGAAUUAUUUUUGUUCGGUGUAAAGGAUUUGUAACUUUUCACCUUUAUGAUCACUGAGAGCAAGGAUAGUAUUACAUUGUGUGUGUUUACACACUAGGAGGCAAUACAAAUGGAAAAAGGUAAUGUAAAAUGGUUUAAUGGCGAAAAAGGCUUCGGAUUCAUCGAACGUGAAGGUGGAGACGAUGUAUUCGUUCAUUUCUCAGCGAUUCAAGGCGAAGGUUACAAAACUUUAGAAGAAGGUCAAGCAGUGACUUUUGAUUUAGAGCAAGGUCAACGUGGACCUCAAGCUUCAAACGUACGUAAAGCUUCUUAAUUUUACAAACCAGGGAAGGCAGGCUCUUUUAUGAGAGUCUGCUUUUU